GUCGAGCGGCAGCACAGAGAAACUUGUUUCUCGGGUGGCGAGCGGCGGCACGUGUGAGUAAUGCCUGGGAAAUUGCCCUGAUGUGGGGGAUAACCAUUGGAAACGAUGGCUAAUACCGCAUGAUAGCUUCGGCUCAAAGAGGGGGACCUUCGGGCCUCUCGCGUCAGGAUAUGCCCAGGUGGGAUUAGCUAGUUGGUGAGGUAAGGGCUCACCAAGGCGACGAUCCCUAGCUGGUCUGAGAGGAUGAUCAGCCACACUGGAACUGAGACACGGUCCAGACUCCUACGGGAGGCAGCAGUGGGGAAUAUUGCACAAUGGGCGCAAGCCUGAUGCAGCCAUGCCGCGUGUGUGAAGAAGGCCUUCGGGUUGUAAAGCACUUUCAGUAGGGAGGAAGGUGGUAGUGUUAAUAGCGCUAUCAUUUGACGUUACCUACAGAAGAAGCACCGGCUAACUCCGUGCCAGCAGCCGCGGUAAUACGGAGGGUGCGAGCGUUAAUCGGAAUUACUGGGCGUAAAGCGCAUGCAGGUGGUUUGUUAAGUCAGAUGUGAAAGCCCCGGGCUCAACCUGGGAAUUGCAUUUGAAACUGGCAAACUAGAGUACUGUAGAGGGGGGUAGAAUUUCAGGUGUAGCGGUGAAAUGCGUAGAGAUCUGAAGGAAUACCGGUGGCGAAGGCGGCCCCCUGGACAGAUACUGACGCUGAAGCGCGAAAGCGUGGGUAGCAAACAGGAUUAGAUACCCUGGUAGUCCACGCUGU
rnacentral:rRNA from 1 species